rnacentral:lncRNA from 1 species
CUAAAUCCAUGAUCCAAGAAGCAAAACCAAUCCCAAUAUUUAAGGAUAAGAUAAAUUUUGUAUCAAGGGAUUGACCAACCAAUAAUCACUCUGAAGAGCAAAAUCAGGCAAAUAGAAUUUAACCAAGCCCUAAAGAGUAAAGAACUCCCACUGACUAAUUGUUUGCAGCAGACAUGUGAAAUAACCACUCCCACAGGCUGAGAAACUAGUAACGCUAAUGGUUUUCUAUGAAAGGCCUAAGAAAUGAUCCAUCCAUUUAUUUACUUCAAUAUUACCGGUCACGGAAGGAAAGCUGCUCAAGUACUAACACCAAAAAGACAAAACUAUCUAUAAAUGAUAAAUCUUUAAUAUCCCAAAUAAUCAAGCAACCAUCAACUGAUUUCAGUGCCAAUUAUAAAUUCACUUUAACAUAUAAAAGAAUAACACCAAAAAUGUCCAUUUUUAACUGGAUAGUUAACAAGAUUAGCAACAUCUGAAGUUAACUGUACUGACUGACCAAGGAAAAAACACUAACACCACCCCUCCCCCCAAUCGAAAUAGCCAUCAGCUGCUUUCCGUGUAUAUAACUAUCCAAAACCAGAGCCAACAAGAAAUUAAGAACAAAACUUGACCUAUAUCGUAUACCCACAUAAAUACCUAGUUUUGAAAUACCCAGCAUCUAAUUCUGCUUCUAAUCAAUAACCCAGCACAGCAAAUACUGUAAUAAGACCGACAUCCUCAAAUUCAACGAAAUCAAUCAAUCGAUCGAUCGAUUGAUAGAUAAGAACCUUACAUCUCCUCAGCAAGUAAACAAAGCAAAAUCCAUAUCAAGAUGGAGAAAAAAGACAAAGGACAGAAAAUACAGCAAUAUAGAAACUUACAGCUGGGAAACGGGUGUCUAGCUUCU